rnacentral:rRNA from 1 species
AUGCACGCUGGCGGCGUGCCUAAUACAUGCAAGUCGAGCGAACAGACGAGGAGCUUGCUCCUCUGACGUUAGCGGCGGACGGGUGAGUAACACGUGGAUAACCUACCUAUAAGACUGGGAUAACUUCGGGAACCGGAGCUAAUACCGGAUAAUAUAUUGAACCGCAUGGUUCAAUAGUGAAAGACGGUUUUGCUGUCACUUAUAGAUGGAUCCGCGCCGCAUUAGCUAGUUGGUAAGGUAACGGCUUACCAAGGCAACGAUGCGUAGCCGACCUGAGAGGGUGAUCGGCCACACUGGAACUGAGACACGGUCCAGACUCCUACGGGAGGCAGCAGUAGGGAAUCUUCCGCAAUGGGCGAAAGCCUGACGGAGCAACGCCGCGUGAGUGAUGAAGGUCUUCGGAUCGUAAAACUCUGUUAUUAGGGAAGAACAAAUGUGUAAGUAACUAUGCACGUCUUGACGGUACCUAAUCAGAAAGCCACGGCUAACUACGUG